rnacentral:misc_RNA from 1 species
GAUGAAGAACGUAGCGAAAUGCGAUAAGUAAUGUGAAUUGCAGAAUUCAGUGAAUCAUCGAAUCUUUGAACGCACAUUGCGCCCGCCAGUAUUCUGGCGGGCAUGCCUGUCCGAGCGUCAUUUCAACCAUCAAGCCCCGGGCUUGUGUUGGGGACCUGCGUCCGACGCAGGCCCUGAAAACCAGUGGCGGGCUCGCUGUCCACACCGAGCGUAGUAACUAACCUCGCUAUGGAGUGGCGCGGGCGCCUGUCGUAAAACCCCCAAUUUCACAAGGUUGACCUCGGAUCAGGUAGGAAUACCCGCUGAACUUAAGCAUAUCAAUAAGCGGAGGA